GCAGUCGAGCGGUAGCACAGAGAGCUUGCUCUCGGGUGACGAGCGGCGGACGGGUGAGUAAUGUCUGGGAAACUGCCUGAUGGAGGGGGAUAACUACUGGAAACGGUAGCUAAUACCGCAUAACGUCGCAAGACCAAAGUGGGGGACCUUCGGGCCUCAUGCCAUCAGAUGUGCCCAGAUGGGAUUAGCUAGUAGGUGGGGUAACGGCUCACCUAGGCGACGAUCCCUAGCUGGUCUGAGAGGAUGACCAGCCACACUGGAACUGAGACACGGUCCAGACUCCUACGGGAGGCAGCAGUGGGGAAUAUUGCACAAUGGGCGCAAGCCUGAUGCAGCCAUGCCGCGUGUGUGAAGAAGGCCUUCGGGUUGUAAAGCACUUUCAGCGGGGAGGAAGGCGUUAAGGUUAAUAACCUUGUCGAUUGACGUUACCCGCAGAAGAAGCACCGGCUAACUCCGUGCCAGCAGCCGCGGUAAUACGGAGGGUGCAAGCGUUAAUCGGAAUUACUGGGCGUAAAGCGCACGCAGGCGGUCUGUCAAGUCGGAUGUGAAAUCCCCGGGCUCAACCUGGGAACUGCAUUCGAAACUGGCAGGCUAGAGUCUUGUAGAGGGGGGUAGAAUUCCAGGUGUAGCGGUGAAAUGCGUAGAGAUCUGGAGGAAUACCGGUGGCGAAGGCGGCCCCCUGGACAAAGACUGACGCUCAGGUGCGAAAGCGUGGGGAGCAAACAGGAUUAGAUACCCUGGUAGUCCACGCCGUAAACGAUGUCGAUUUGGAGGUUGUGCCCUUGAGGCGUGGCUUCCGGAGCUAACGCGUUAAAUCGACCGCCUGGGGAGUACGGCCGCAAGGUUAAAACUCAAAUGAAUUGACGGGGGCCCGCACAAGCGGUGGAGCAUGUGGUUUAAUUCGAUGCAACGCGAAGAACCUUACCUGGUCUUGACAUCCACAGAACUUUCCAGAGAUGGAUUGGUGCCUUCGGGAACUGUGAGACAGGUGCUGCAUGGCUGUCGUCAGCUCGUGUUGUGAAAUGUUGGGUUAAGUCCCGCAACGAGCGCAACCCUUAUCCUUUGUUGCCAGCGGUCCGGCCGGGAACUCAAAGGAGACUGCCAGUGAUAAACUGGAGGAAGGUGGGGAUGACGUCAAGUCAUCAUGGCCCUUACGACCAGGGCUACACACGUGCUACAAUGGCAUAUACAAAGAGAAGCGACCUCGCGAGAGCAAGCGGACCUCAUAAAGUAUGUCGUAGUCCGGAUUGGAGUCUGCAACUCGACUCCAUGAAGUCGGAAUCGCUAGUAAUCGUAGAUCAGAAUGCUACGGUGAAUACGUUCCCGGGCCUUGUACACACCGCCCGUCACACCAUGGGAGUGGGUUGCAAAAGAAGUAGGUAGCUUAACCUUCGGGAGGGC
rnacentral:rRNA from 1 species